rnacentral:rRNA from 1 species
AUUGAACGCUAGCGGGAUGCCUUACACAUGCAAGUCGAACGGAGAGACCAACGGGCGAGUAAUGUAUCGGAACGUGCCCAGUAGCUGGGGAUAACUCCGUGAUAGCGUAGCUAAUACCGCCUACUUUUGGAGCGGUUGCUAUGGGAUUAGCUAGAGGGUGGGGUAACGGCUCACCACGUCGACGAUCCGUAGCUGGCUUGAGAGGACGACCAGCCACACUGGAGCUGAGACACGGCCCAGACUCCUACGUGAGGCAGCAGUGGGGAAUUUUGGACAAUGGGGGAAACCCUGAUGCAGCCAGCCCGCGUGGGCGAUGAAGGCUUUCGGGUUGUAAAGCACUUUUGGCAGGAAAGCGUUACCUGCAGAAUAAGCACCGGCUAACUACGUGCCAGCAGCCGCGGUAAUUC